UACAGGGGGUGCAAACGUUGCUCGGAAUUAUUGGGCGUAAAGCGCACGUAGGUGGUCACGUAAGUUGGAUGUGAAAGCCCUCGGCUUAACUGAGGAAGUGCAUCCAAAACUGCGCGGCUAGAAUGUGGAAGAGGGUCGCGGAAUUCCCGGUGUAGAGGUGAAAUUCGUAGAUAUCGGGAGGAACACCAGCGGCGAAGGCGGCGACCUGGUCCAACAUUGACGCUGAGGUGCGAAAGCGUGGGGAGCAAACAGG
rnacentral:rRNA from 1 species